rnacentral:rRNA from 1 species
AUCGAUGAAGAACGCAGCGAAAUGCGAUAAGUAAUGUGAAUUGCAGAAUUCAGUGAAUCAUCGAAUCUUUGAACGCACCUUGCGCUCCUUGGUAUUCCGAGGAGCAUGCCUGUUUGAGUGUCUUGAAGUCAUCAACCCCUCCCGUUUCGUGCGGGGUGGGGUUGGAUCUGGGGGUUUGCCGCUGCGAGGCGGCUCCCCUCAAAUGCGUCGAUCGGGCCUGUGGGUCGAACUUGACUGGGCGUUGUAUCAUCCUCGCUCUACCGAGAAGUUCCCCUCCUGUGCCCGAUCCCGACCUGCCUUUGGAGCGGCGGUCAAGCUAAACUUUGAAAUCUGACCUCAAAUCAGGUAGGACUACCCGCUGAACUUAAGCAUAUCAAUAAGCGGAGGAAAAGAAACUAACAAGGAUUCCCCUAGUAACUGCGAGUGAAGCGGGAAAAGCUCAAAUUUGAAAUCUGGCGGUUCCGCCGUCCGAGUUGUAUUCUGGAGAAGUGCCUUCCGCGCCGGACCGUGUACAAGUCCCUUGGAACAGGGCGUCAUAGAGGGUGAGAAUCCCGUCUUUGGCACGGACCCCCGGUGCUAUGCGAUGCGCUCUCGAAGAGUCGAGUUGUUUGGGAAUGCAGCUCAAAACGGGUGGUAAAUUCCAUCUAAAGCUAAAUAUUGGCGAGAGACCGAUAGCGAACAAGUACCGUGAGGGAAAGAUGAAAAGCACUUUGGAAAGAGAGUAAAACAGUACGUGAAAUUGUUGAAAGGGAAACGCUUGAAGUCAGUCGCGUCUGCCGGAACUCAGCCUUGCUUCUGCUUGGCGCACUUUCCGGUUUGACGGGCCAGCAUCGGUUUCGAGCGGCAGACACUGGCGAGGGGAAGGUGGCGGCUCCGGCCGUGUUAUAGCCCCCCGUCGCGAAUGCCGCCCGGGACCGAGGAAUCCGGCGCAAGCCUGGGAUGCUGGCGUAAUGGCUUUAAGCGACCCGUCUUGAAACACGG